rnacentral:rRNA from 1 species
UACAGGGGGGGCAAGCGUUUGUUCGGAAUUACUGGGCGUAAAGGGUUCGUAGGUGGCCACUUAAGUCAGACGUGAAAUCCCUCAGCUUAACUGGGGAACUGCGUCUGAUACUGGGUGGCUUGAGUGCAGGAGAGGGAUGCGGAAUUCCAGGUGUAGCGGUGAAAUGCGUAGAUAUCUGGAGGAACACCGGUGGCGAAGGCGACACGCUGGGCCGUACCUGACACUGAUGCGCGACAGCAUGGGGAGCAAACAGG